rnacentral:rRNA from 1 species
UACGUAGGGCGCAAGCGUUGUCCGGAAUUAUUGGGCGUAAAGAGCUCGUAGGCGGUUUGUCGCGUCUGCUGUGAAAACCUAAGGCUCAACCUUGGGCUUGCAGUGGGUACGGGCAGACUAGAGUGUGGUAGGGGAGACUGGAAUUCCUGGUGUAGCGGUGAAAUGCGCAGAUAUCGGGAGGAACACCAACGGCGAAGGCAGCACUCUGGGCUGGAACUGACGCUGAGGAGCGAAAGCGUGGGUAGCAAACAGG